UUCACAAGUUUUAUUUGAAGUGUUUUGUUGUGUUACAUUUUAAAACAGAAGAUGUUAUGUGAUUUCCAAUAAGGCAACUCUCCACAAGAGACCAAAUGACACAGAUAUUAACAACUAUAGGUCAUCGUAUGGCCUUCAACAAUGAGCAAAGCUCAUACCGCAUCGUCAGCUAAAAACACCCAGAAAUGACAAUGUAAAACA
rnacentral:lncRNA from 1 species